ACAAGCGGAGGAGCAUGUGGUUUAAUUCGAUGAUACGCGAGGACCUUACUGGGCUCGAACGUAAGAUGACUGUAGGUGAAAGCUUACAUCUCUUCGGAGCAUUUUUACGAGGUGCUGCAUGGUUGUCGUCAGCUCGUGCCGUGAGGUGUCGGGUUAAGUCCCAUAACGAGCGCAACCCUACCUUUAGUUGCCAUCAGGUAAUGCUGGGGACUCUAAAGGAACUGCCUACGCAAGUAGUGAGGAAGGCGGGGAUGACGUCAAAUCAGCACGGCCCUUACGUCCAGGGCUACACACGUGCUACAAUGGCCGAUACAGAGGGCAGCUACCUGGUGACAGGAUGCAAAUCUCCAAAGUCGGUCUCAGUUCGGAUCGGAGUCUGCAACCCGACUCCGUGAAGUUGGAUUCGCUAGUAAUCGCGCAUCAGCCAUGGCGCGGUGAAUACGUUCCCGGGCCUU
rnacentral:rRNA from 1 species